UACGUAGGGGGCUAGCGUUGUCCGGAAUCAUUGGCGUAAAGCGCGUGUAGGCGGCUCGGUAAGUCCGCUGUGAAAGUCGGGGGCUCAACCCUCGGAUGCCGGUGGAUACUGUCGGGCUAGAGUACGGAAGAGGCGAGUGGAAUUCCUGGUGUAGCGGUGAAAUGCGCAGAUAUCAGGAGGAACACCAAUUGCGAAGGCAGCUCGCUGGGACGUUACUGACGCUGAGACGCGAAAGCGUGGGGAGCAAACAGG
rnacentral:rRNA from 1 species